rnacentral:lncRNA from 1 species
GUAUGCUGGUCUCUGUUUCCUCUGCUAGCAGCGUUAUGAUGAUGAUGAAGUGUAACUGUGUGAACUGCUGCUGGAUGGUGAUCUGCAACAGGUGCGCCCGAAUGCCGUUGCGCUGGUGGAUGCGUUCAACUACACGGAUCACUACCUGGGAUCGGUGCUGGGGCGGUACGACGGGAAUGUGUACCCGGCACUGUACGAGGAGGCGUGGAAGGACCCUCUGAACGAGACGGUGGUGCCGGACGGGUACCACGAGUACCUCCGCCCCUUGCUCAAGCAGCAGCUCAGGCUCUCCAGGCUCUGAUCUGAUCAGCCACCUCCAGGAAUCCACCUUCUGAAUGGAUGAAUGAAUGGGUG